rnacentral:rRNA from 1 species
CAGCCGCCACGGUAACACGGAGGAUCCGAGCGUUAUCCGGAAUUAUUGGGUUUAAAGGGUGCGUAGGCGGAUAGAUAAGUUAGUGGUGAAAGACGGUGGCUCAACCAUCGCAGUGCCGUUGAUACUGUUUAUCUUGAAUAUGGAUGGGGUAGGCGGAAUGUGGCAAGUAGCGGUGAAAUGCAUAGAUAUGCCACAGAACACCGAUUGCGAAGGCAGCUUACCAAGGCAAAAUUGACGCUGAGGCACGAAAGCGUGGGGAUCGAACAGGAUUAGAUACCCCAGUAGUCCCUGUCUCUUAUAA